UACGUAGGGUGCGAGCGUUUGUCCGGAUUUAUUGGGCGUAAAGGGCUCGUAGGCGGCGUGUCGCGUCGGGAGUGAAAGCCCGUUGCUUAACGGCGGGUUGGCUUCGGUACGGGCAUGCUGGAGUGCGGCAGGGGGAGACUGGAAUUCCUGGUGUAGCGGUGGAAUGCGCAGAUAUCAGGAGGAACACCGAUGGCGAAGGCAGGUCUCUGGGCCACUACUGACGCUGAGAAGCGAAAGCAUGGGGGAGCGAACAGG
rnacentral:rRNA from 1 species